UAGGGAAUCUUCCACAAUGGACGCAAGUCUGAUGGAGCAACGCCGCGUGAGUGAAGAAGGUUUUCGGAUCGUAAAGCUCUGUUGUUGGUGAAGAAGGAUAGAGGCAGUAACUGGUCUUUAUUUGACGGUAAUCAACCAGAAAGUCACGGCUAACUACGUGCCAGCAGCCGCGGUAAUACGUAGGUGGCAAGCGUUGUCCGGUUUUAUUGGGCGUAAAGCGAGCGCAGGCGGAAUGAUAAGUCUGAUGUGAAAGCCCACGGCUCAACCGUGGAACUGCAUCGGAAACUGUCAUUCUUGAGUGCAGAAGAGGAGAGUGGAAUUCCAUGUGUAGCGGUGGAAUGCGUAGAUAUAUGGAAGAACACCAGUGGCGAAGGCGGCUCUCUGGUCUGCAACUGACGCUGAGGCUCGAAAGCAUGGGUAGCGAACAGG
rnacentral:rRNA from 1 species